AUAUUAUCAAUGCAAAAAAUGAGAGUGAACGACUAGCCUUAAAGCCAGAUUGCAUAAAAAGUGAUGUAGAAUGGAGAGCAUUUGUUGCCAAAAAAAUUAGUAAAGAUCAUUUGGAUAUAAGGGCCAAAUGCCAAGAGAGAAGAAAGAAAGUUGUUCCACACACUUUAAGUCGAAGAGGAUAUGCUCGAACAAUUGAUGAUAUG